UGGCGGACGGGUGAAUAACGCGUGGGUAACCUACCUCACACAGGGGGAUAACAGUUGGAAACGACCGCUAAUACCGCAUAAGCCGGAAGGAUCGCAUGAUCCGGCCGGAAAAGAUUUAUCGGUGUGAGAUGGACCCGCGUCUGAUUAGCCAGUUGGCAGGGUAACGGCCUACCAAAGCGACGAUCAGUAGCCGGCCUGAGAGGGUGAACGGCCACAUUGGGACUGAGACACGGCCCAAACUCCUACGGAAGGCAGCAG
rnacentral:rRNA from 1 species